rnacentral:rRNA from 1 species
UUAAGUAGCGAUAGCGAAGGGGAUACACCUGUUCCCAUCUCGAACACAGAAGUUAAGUCCUUCAGCGCUGAAAAUACUUGCCGGGCAGCUGGCUGGGAAGAUAAGACGUUGCUUAUU